UGUGAAUUGUCAUAACAAUCAUACAUACCUACCACAACUUUACUCUUUUCUCUCUUCUCUUUCUUCUAGAAUCGUCAUCUUCUCACCGGAUUUUCAACAUUGAAUCAAGAUCAAAGAUCCGCCUAUAUAUCUUGAAGAUCAGACCAUAAAUCUUGAAGGUAAAUGGGGGAUAUCUACAAAUUUUGAUGGUACACGGCUUUUCAUUUAACGACAAUUUUGAUCAGAUACUGACAUUUAAGGAAAAAAUCUUAAUACAAUGUUGGGUAGAAGAUGCUGGAGAAUGAACUUAAGCGUAAUUUGGAUGCCGUUUAUGAUGUGGAUUUAUGUUCUUCUCAGUCUUCCACUAAACCGCGUAUGGGUGAUUGUGAGAACAAUGAAGAUCCGCCUAUAUAUCUUGAAGAUCAGACCAUAAAUCUUGAAGUUAUAGAUAUUUAUUUCUGAACCGAGUCUGUCCUCCAUAGUUUUUUCUGAUGUGAAGAGCUUCUUUCAGACUCCUUCCCCUACAAGGAACUAUUGAAUGGGUUCCUAUGAGAAGUUGAAGGAAAGUUAUGGAUAAUGAAAACAAUGCUCCUUCGUUAUUAAAGUCGAUUGAGGACUAUGAUCCUAUAUUUUUCGAAUUGUUCGUCGACCAAAAACAGUUAUGGAUCAUGAAAACAACGCUCCUUCGUUGUUAAAGUUGAUUGGGGACUAUGAUCCUAUAUUUUUGGAAAUACCAUAUGAUUUUGCAACCUUAUUGUGGGGAGAACAACUUCCAUAUGUCAAUGUCUUAAAAUUAUUGAUGAUGAUUUAUCUUAUGGAUCCUAAAAACAACUCUCAUUCGUUGUUAAAGUUUAUUGAGUAAUAUGAUCCUAUAUUUUUGGUGUUUAUUUUGGAUGGUCCGGAGUUUUUGGCUGCAACUAUGUUGGACAGAGAUAUGCUUGCUAUUGCUAUAAAUUGGUACCAUGUCGGUUGGUUUUGACUCGU